GAUGAACGCUGGCGGCGUGCCUAAUACAUGCAAGUCGAGCGAACAGACGAGGAGCUUGCUCCUCUGACGUUAGCGGCGGACGGGUGAGUAACACGUGGAUAACCUACCUAUAAGACUGGGAUAACUUCGGGAAACCGGAGCUAAUACCGGAUAAUAUAUUGAACCGCAUGGUUCAAUAAUGAAAGACGGUUUUGCUGUCACUUAUAGAUGGAUCCGCGCCGCAUUAGCUAGUUGGUAAGGUAACGGCUUACCAAGGCAACGAUGCGUAGCCGACCUGAGAGAGUGAUCGGCCACACUGGAACUGAGACACGGUCCAGACUCCUACGGGAGGCAGCAGUAGGGAAUCUUCCGCAAUGGGCGAAAGCCUGACGGAGCAACGCCGCGUGAGUGAUGAAGGUCUUCGGAUCGUAAAACUCUGUUAUUAGGGAAGAACAAAUGUGUAAGUAACUAUGCACGUCUUGACGGUACCUAAUCAGAAAGCCACGGCUAACUACGUG
rnacentral:rRNA from 1 species